GUGGGAGGGGGCUUGCUCCCGAAUGCGGUGUGUCAGACAAAUGUUCGGUACUGACACCCCGCUUUCGGGAGCAAGCCCCCUCCCAC
rnacentral:antisense_RNA from 1 species